UACGUAGGGGGCAAGCGUUAUCCGGAAUUAUUGGGCGUAAAGAGUGCGUAGGUGGUUUUGUAAGCGCAUAGGUGAAAGGCUACAGCUCAACUGUAGUAAGCCUUGCGAACUGUGAAACUUGAGUGCAGGAGAGGAGAGUGGAAUUCCUAGUGUAGCGGUGAAAUGCGUAGAUAUUAGGAGGAACACCAGUGGCGAAGGCGACUCUCUGGACUGUUACUGACACUGAGGCACGAAAGCGUGGGGAGCGAAC
rnacentral:rRNA from 1 species